UACGGAGGAUGCGAGCGUUAUCCGGAUUUAUUGGGUUUAAAGGGUGCGUAGGCGGAAUGCCAAGUCAGCGGUAAAAUCGCGGGGCUCAACCUCGCUCCGCCGUUGAAACUGGCGUUCUUGAGUGGGCGAGAAGUAUGCGGAAUGCGUGGUGUAGCGGUGAAAUGCAUAGAUAUCACGCAGAACUCCGAUUGCGAAGGCAGCAUACCGGCGCCCAACUGACGCUGAAGCACGAAAGCGUGGGUAUCGAACAGG
rnacentral:rRNA from 1 species